rnacentral:rRNA from 1 species
UACGUAGGGGGCGAGCGUUGUUCGGAAUCACUGGGCGUAAAGGGCGUGUAGGCGGUCCGGUAAGUCUGAUGUGAAAGCCCGGGGCUCACCCCCGGAAGUGCAUUGGAAACUGGCGGACUCGAGUCCCGGAGAGGAGAGUGGAAUUCCUGGUGUAGCGGUGAAAUGCGUAGAUAUCAGGAGGAACACCGGUGGCGAAGGCGGCCCUCUGGGCGGAUACUGACGCUGAGGCGCGAAAGCGUGGGGAGCGAACAGG